UACGGAGGGGGGCUAGCGUUGUUCGGAAUUACUGGGCGUAAAGCGCACGUAGGCGGCUUUGUAAGUUAGAGGUGAAAGCCCGGAGCUCAACUCCGGAAUUGCCUUUAAGACUGCAUCGCUUGAAUCAUGGAGAGGUGAGUGGAAUUCCGAGUGUAGAGGUGAAAUUCGUAGAUAUUCGGAAGAACACCAGUGGCGAAGGCGACUCACUGGACAUGUAUUGACGCUGAGGUGCGAAAGCGUGGGGAGCAAACAGG
rnacentral:rRNA from 1 species